GCCUGGUGUGGUGGUGCAUGCCAGUAAUCCCAGCAGCUCGGGAGGCUGAGGCAGGAGGAUGGCGGAUUCAACGCCAGCCUCAGCAAAAGCAAGACACUAACUCCGUGAGACCCUGUCUCUA
rnacentral:sRNA from 1 species